UCAGAGUCACGGUGGUUUCGGUGUAAUUUGAAUUUUGCCUGCAGGUCGCACGGGAGACCUCAGGCUGCUGUCGGGGAGCCCUGAGCGUGUAAAGGCCACAGGGUGUUACUGGGUGACGUUGGCGGGAACAGAGCUCCGUGUGCCAAGUCCUCGGGGGUACCCCAGAGUCAAUUAAAAAACACUGUGAGGCUGACAUUUGCAGAACUGCCGGAUGAUCAAAGGGGAAAAUGCCCAUACAGCUUCUGACAUGAAAACCAGGCUGUUUGAUGGAAGACUGACACGCUGGAACAGGUCAGCUCCCUCCUCCCCCAAUGCAUCCCCAGCAGCCAACGCUGAACACCGCAUUCAUUAUGAUGAUUAAGGAAUUCUCCCAUCUUUCUGCCUUGAUGUGUUUAUUAAGUUAAUGAAGGAUGCGACAGAUGAAUUUGUGUGCAGAGGGUAGAAGGAGGCAGAGGGCCUGGUCGUCUCUGCCACGCUCACGUCGUAAUUGGCUUAAUGGAUUUUCCGUGGUCCGGGAUGUCUGCUUCCUCCUCUCUCAGGCAAACCAAUUAUGGCUUUUUACAUUAAAUUCUAAUAGAUUUCAAUUUA